rnacentral:rRNA from 1 species
UACGUAGGGUGCGAGCGUUUGUCCGGAAUCAUUGGGCGUAAAGCGCGCGUAGGCGGUCCGGUAAGUCCGCUGUGAAAGUCAAGGGCUCAACCCUUGAAUGCCGGUGGAUACUGUCGGGCUAGAGUCCGGAAGAGGCGAGUGGAAUUCCUGGUGUAGCGGUGAAAUGCGCAGAUAUCAGGAGGAACACCGGUGGCGAAGGCGGCAUCCUGGACCGACAUUGACGCUGAGGAGCGAAAGCUAGGGGAGCAAACGGG